rnacentral:SRP_RNA from 1 species
GCUGGGUGUGGUGGCUCACACCUGUAAUCCCAGCACUUUGGGAGGCUGAGGUGGGUGGAUCACCUGAGGUCAGGAGUUCGAGACCAGCCUGGCCAACAUGGUGAAACCCUGUCUCUA